rnacentral:rRNA from 1 species
UGUAUGGAAUAUCUAUAUUCUAAUAUGAGAAAUUAAUGAUUUAAGUCCUUCUUAAAUGAGGCCAUUUACCCAUAGAGGGUGCCAGGCCCGUAUAACAUUAAUGAUUAUUAGAAGAUAUUUCCAAAGAGUCGUGUUGCUUGAUAGUGCAGCACUAAGUUGGUGGUAAACUCCAUCUAAAACUAAAUAUUACCAUGAGACCGAUAGUAAACAAGUACCGUGAGGGAAAGUUGAAAAGAACUCUGAAUAGAGAGUUAAAUAGUACGUGAAACUGCUUAGAGGUUAAACCCGAUGAACCUGAAUAUCCAAUAUAAAGAAUUCAUCAUUAAGACAAUAAUUAUUAUUAUUGAAUUAGUGUGCAUUUUCUUUAUAUACGGACAUUGUAAUCUAUUAAUAUUAAAAUACUUACCAAAAGAUCAAUUGCUUAUGUUUAUUUUAUAUAAUUUGCUUUGGCUUUUUAUUAAAAUAAUUGCUUUUGAUUUGAUAAGGUAUUGAUAGAUUAAUAUAUAUGUAUGAUGCAAAAAUUCAUUUAUGAAUUUUAUAAUAUAGUAAUAUAUUAUAGGCAUUUAUACGAUUUACAAUGCGAAAGAUUCAGGAAACCUUCGGGACCCGUCUUGAAACACGGACCAAGGAGUCUAACAUAUGUGCAAGUUAUUGGGAUUUUAUAUAAAACCCAAUAGCAUAAUUAACAUAAUUUAUUAAUGGGAUUAGUUAUAUAUUUAUUUAUAAAUAUAUUUACUCAAUCCCGGGGCGUUCUAUACAGUUAUGUAUAUUAGCAUUUAUGUUAUUUAUACCUCUAACUAGAGCGUACCUUGAGCAUAUAUGCUGUGACCCGAAAGAUGGUGAACUAUACUUGAUCAGGUUGAAGUCAGGGGAAACCCUGAUGGAAGACCGAAACAGUUCUGACGUGCAAAUCGAUUGUCAGAAUUGAGUAUAGGGGCGAAAGACCAAUCGAACCA